GGUCUUUCUCUGCCUCUGUGGUGGAUAGUGGAGUGUUUCCCAUGUGGUAUUGGUGUGUUGGAUAUCCCUUCACUGGCAGCCUGGUAACAAACACUCCCAGGUCUUUCUCUGCCUCUGUGGUGGAUAGUGGAGUGUUUCCCAUGUGGUAUUGGUGUGUUGGAUAUCCCUUCACUGGUAGCCUGGUAACAUACACUCCCAGGUCUUUCUCUGCCUCUGUGGUGGAUAGUGGAGUGUUUCCCAUGUGGUAUUGGUGUGCUGGAUAUCCCUUCACUGGUAGCCUAGUAACAUACACUCACGGGUCUUUCUCUGUCUCUGUGGUGGAUAGUGGAGUGUUUCCCAUGUGGUAUUGGUGUGCUGGAUAUCCCUUCACUGGUAGCCUGGUGACAUACACUUCCAGGUCUUUCUCUGCCUCUGUGGUGGAUAGUGGAGUGUUUCCCAUGUGGUAUUGGUGUGCUGGAUAUCCCUUCACUGGUAGCCUGGUAACAUACACUCCCAGGUCUUUCUCUGCCUCUGUGGUGGAUAGUGGAGUGUUUCCCAUGUGAUACUGGUGUGCUGGAUAUCCCUUCACUGGUAGCCUGGUAACAUACAC